UUGCCACAUGGACGACUACACACCCAGUAGGGACAAGCUUGUUAGCAGAAAGGCUAUAGAAGCUCUCAUAAAGCAGCUCCAUACGACGUACAUUUACCGCUAUGCUAAAGCUUUCUGUUCGUGUCGUGAUACCUACUGGGUUGAGUCGUUCAACCAUCAACUCCUCACCUACCUGCCCAAGCGCAUUCACUUUUCAACUGAGACGUUCAUAAUACGAACGAAUUUGGCUGUCUUGGAUUGGAAUGAGAACGUCAAUCACUCUUACACCAGUAUGAUCAAAGUGAGUGACCUUCGACAACCAGAUCGCCGCACAGCAAUGAAAGCCUUGGUGAAGAAAGGUUUUUAAUUUGUUGCUUUGCUAUGGGCAAUGUAUGUUGAACA